rnacentral:rRNA from 1 species
AACGUGGAGACAGGUGGUGCAUGGCUGUCGUCAGCUCGUGUCGUGAGAUGUUGGGUUAAGUCCCGCAACGAGCGCAACCCUCACCCCUUGUUGCCAUCAGGUCACGCUGGGCACUCUAGGGGAACUGCCCCGGUCAACGGGGAGGAAGGUGGGGACGACGUCAAGUCAUCAUGCCCCUUACGUCCUGGGCUACACACGUGCUACAAUGGCCGGUACAAAGGGAUGCAAGACCGUGAGGUGGAGCUAAACCCAAAAAGCCGGCCUAAGUUCAGAUUGGAGUCUGCAACUCGACUCCAUGAAGGAGGAAUCGCUAGUAAUCGCGCAUCAGCACGGCGCGGUGAAUACGUUCCCGGGCCUUGUACACACCGCCCGUCACACCACGAAAGCCUGCUGUACUCGAAGUCGCUGAG